rnacentral:rRNA from 1 species
GACGAACGCUGGCGGCGUGCUUAACACAUGCAAGUCGAACGCUGAGGCUCAGCUUUUGUUGGGUGGAUGAGUGGCGAACGGGUGAGUAACACGUGAGUAACCUGCCCCCUUCUUUGGGAUAACGCCCGGAAACGGGUGCUAAUACUGGAUAUUCACUGGUCCUCGCAUGGGGGUUGGUGGAAAGGGCUUUUCUGGCGGGGGAUGGGCUCGCGGCCUAUCAGCUUGUUGGUGGGGUGAUGGCCUACCAAGGCUUUGACGGGUAGCCGGCCUGAGAGGGUGACAGGUGGCGUGGGGACUGAGUUACGGCCGAGAUUCCUACGCGAGGCAGCAGUGGGGAAUAUUGCACAAUGGGCGCAAGUCUGAUGCAGCCACGCGGCGUGAGGGAUGGAGGCCUUCGGGUUGUGAACCUCUUUCGCACAUGUUCAAGCCGCGACAAUGUUUGUGGUGAGGGUAGUGGGUAAAGAAGCGCCGGCUGACUAAGU